UUGGUUAACGCCAUGUUAGACACAUCGGGUCUCUCCAAGGCAUGGUGGGGGGAGGCGAUAUUGAUGGCAUGUCAUGUCCUAAACCGAGUCCCCACAAAGAACAAAGAGAUCACUCCAUUCGAGGAAUGGGAGAAGAAAAGGUUAAAACUCUCUUAUCUGCGAACAUGGGGUUGUUUGGCGAAAGUCAAUAUUCCAAUUCCAAAGAAGCGGAAGCUUGGACCAAAGACUGUGGAUUGUAUUUUCCUGGAAUAUGCUUUUCAUAGCAUUGGCUAUAGAUUCUUGGUUGUAAAAUCUGAGGUACCUGACAUGCAUGUCGGUACGAUCAUGGAGUCGAAUGAUGCGACUUUCUUUGAAGAUAUCUUUCCCAUGAAGGAUAUGGCUACCUCGUCUAAUCAGGAGAUGCCUAGUUCAUCGAAUCAGGAACUAGUUACAAUUACCGAACCUACCAUUUCAAUGGAACACUUUGAAAAUUCUGUGGAGGAGAACAAUGAAGUUCCUACUAGGAGCAAGAGACAGAGGAUUGCAAAGUCCUUUGGUGAUGAUUUUCUUGUGUAUCUCAUAGAUGACACUCCCAGUUCUAUUUCAGAGGCCUAUGCAUCUGAAGAUGCUGACUACUGGAAGGAAGCGGUUCGUAGCGAGAUGGAUUCCAUCUUGGCGAAUGAAACUUGGGAGAUAACUGAUCGUCCUUAUGGGUGCAAACCUAUAGGAUGCAAAUGGGUAUUCAAGAAGAAGCUUAGGCCUGAUGGUACAAUUGAAAAGUACAAGGCUCGGCUCGUGGCUAAGGGUUAUACCCAAAAGGAAGGUGAAGACUUCUUUGAUACUUACUCACCUGUGGCUCGACUGACCACUAUUCGAGUUCUACUUUCACUAGCUGCCUCACAUGGUCUUCUCGUUCAUCAAAUGGAUGUUAAGACCGCUUUCCUAAAUGGAGAGUUGGACGAGGAAAUUUAUAUGGAACAACCAGAUGGGUUUGUACUAGAUGGUCAGGAAGGAAAAGUGUGCAAGUUGUUGAAGUCUUUGUAUGGACUCAAGCAAGCACCCAAACAGUGGCAUGAGAAGUUUGAAAGAACUUUAACCGAUGCAGGCUUCGUUGUAAACGAAGCUGAUAAAUGUGUGUACUAUCGCCAUGGUGGGGGCAAAGGAGUUAUUCUUUGCUUGUAUGUUGAUGACAUACUGAUUUUCGUAACAAAUCUGAAUGUUAUUAAGGAGGUCAAGGAUUUCCUAUCUCGUUGUUUUGAGAUGAAGGAUUUAGGAGUGGCUGAUGUCAUUUUGAACAUCAAGUUGUUGAGAGACGAUGAUGCCAGUGCUACAAGACCUGACAUCUCUUUUGCUGUUAGCAAACUGAGUUGGUUUGUCUCAAAACCAGGAGAUGUGCAUUGGAAAGCUCUAGAGAGAGUUUUGCGUUAUUUGAAAGGCACUGCGAAUUAUGGAAUUCACUACACUGGGCACCCAAAGGUGCUUGAAGGGUAUAGUGACUCAAACUGGAUCUCAGAUGCUGAUGAGAUAAAGGAAGCAGAACUCACAGCACUAGAUACAGCUACGGUCGAAGCAGAUUGGCUUCGUCGGCUCUUGAAUGACUUGCCGGUUGUUGAGAAACCUGUACCGGGUAUCCUUAUGAACUGCGACAAUCAAACUGUGAUCACGAAAGUGAGCAGCUCAAAGGAUAACAUGAAGUCAUCAAGACACGUUCAGAGAAGGUUAAAUUCUGUCAGGAAAAUGAGAAACUCCGGAGUUAUUGCAUUGGAUUAUAUCCAAACGUCUAAAAAUCUGGCAGAUCCUUUUACUAAGGGUCUAUCACGUAAUGUGAUAGAUAAUGCAUCAAGGGAGAUGGGUAUGAGACCCACA
rnacentral:rRNA from 1 species